AUAUUAAUAUAUAAUAACAUACAUUAAUAAGCAUGUAGCCACUAAAUAAUAAAGCUGUCUACACACACACAGACAUAGAGACGCAGCUCAAGAGUCAUAGCCAAUGAAGCAAACUUGAAAGCUGUGCAUUUCCUAGAAAAAUUGAACCAGCGGCAAACAGCCGAGGUAAAGAAAAUAUGACGGCGACUGCGGCGUCGCUUGCAAACAGUCGAUAGCCAGGGCAAACAUGGCCAGCUCGCCGGCCGGAGACCGGCACACGGACAACUGGGCUAAGCUGAGUUAAGGUUGGGCCAAUGGGGGUUGGGCCAUGCCCAUGUCGAACAAACACAGCCGAAACGCAGCCCAACUCAACGCCAUGUAUGCAAAUGAGUCUGAGCAAAUAGACAAGCGUUUGCUGCUGCUGUUGCUGUUGCUGGUGCUAGCUAGGGGCAUGUCCAGGGCCACGAUAAGGCGAGCAACGAAGGACUUGCAACACAAACUUGCAACUGCAACAGCAACCGUAAAACUUGAACGCUGCGCAUUUGCUUUGGUUUUUCCCGACGGCAGCUAAUGGCCCAAAUACGGCAGAGUACAAAGGCUGAGCGCGCAGGUAAUGCCAGGACGAGCGUCCUGCGUUGUGUUUACAAAACGCAGCCUAAUUGAGGCGGGGAAAUUCGCUUAGGCCGGCCAUAAAAUUGAAUUGUUUGCAAACACAAGCAGAAAGUAUGGGCCAUAAAAGUGCACAAUACCCCGGCUACAAUACGGUGUGGUAAAUAUUUAGGGCAAGGUCGGUCCAGGACAGCCACGAGACCUAACCCAUUUAUAUGCAAUAUUCAAUUUUCCAAUGAAAUACAGCAACAGUUUCUUAAUGAAAACGCGACGGCCGCGU